ensembl:lncRNA
ACAUGUAGUAAUACUGCAGUCAUAUACACGUGUUUAUGUUACUAUAUAAUCGAAUGGGAAACUUUGUUUAUUCAGUGAAGCUUUGGUGCUGUAACUUACUCAGUAAUGUCUGGAAGCUUUUGACAUGGAAGUGUGUGCUACAUUCAGUUAUUUUUAGCACAUGUACUAAAAAAUGUCUGCACAAUCAGUCUUGAUAUUUGACCACAUGAUACUGCAGGAUUAAGCUGAUUUUUAUGUCCACAAUAAUAUGUGAUGUUAUAAAAUAUGACUUGUUCCCUGUGUGUGUGUGUGUGUGUGUGUGUGUGUGUGUGUUUUGUUUGUUUGUUUGUUUGUUUUAAGUGUGUUUGUGCAACUUGACUUGAGUUUGAGAAGUGUAUCUCCAUGUUGUCUUGACUCUAUGGUUGACUCUGUUGUUUUUUUGCACCUUUAUUACAACUGUGAAUUGUAUCUUUUACAAAAUUUCAGUGUUUUACUUGGCUGCUAAAAACAUGUUAAUUUCACUACCUUCAAUUUGAUCCACUUUUUUAGUGAAAUGCUUAGGUUUUUAGAAAGCCUUGUCAUUCACAAAUGACAUGUGAUCUACUUAUAUGAUCUUUUGUAUGUAAUUUAAUGAUCAUUUUUAUUUCCAUGUCAGCAUCCUCACUCUUUGUUUAGCAUUCGAAUUAAUUUAGUCUAUAUCCAUUCCCUUUUAGCCGUUUCUUCUUGCUAUAUUUUCUAUUAAGACACUUUUAAAAUGCUAACCUUUUCUAAUUUUGUAUAUACAAUAUUUUUUAAGUUUUAAUUCAUGCCAUGCACAGUAUGCUGCUUUUUUUUUUCUUUUUUCUUUUGCUCAGCUUUAUUUUACAGAAAUGUGCCAUGUUGUAAUGUUUUGCAUUGUAUAUCAGUGGGACUUUUUGUUUAAGCACUAAGCUCCAUUAUUAGUAUUAUUAGCAUUUACAGUUUGCUUAUCCUAAUUAUAAGCUUUGUAUGGAAUAUUUCAUCACUUAAAAUAUACUGUUGUCUAAAAACAUUGUCGUUUACAUAUUGAGAACCCAAUAGCAUUCUUGGAGAGGCUCAUUUAUGAGUAUCACCAUGAUGUGAGUGGGUCUGUCAUGUUUAGUGAUUAUUUAAACAGUCAGAAUGAUAGAAAACCUGUUGUCAUUUAUUGAUUAUGGGAAAAGACCCAAAAUCUACAUCUAUUAAGUUUAAUUUGUUUUGGGAUAUUUUACUUUGUACAGUUUUGGUAACGUUGUUGGUUACUUCUCACACUGCAGGUAGGCCUAAAUAUAAAACCUCCCCCAAUUAAAUAUGAAGUCGUGACACUAAAUUUGUUUAUAUUGACAUUUUGUCUAUAUAGAUGCAUGUUUAUAUUAUCAGUAAUAUAAGGUAUUAUACCAGUAAUUUCUGUUUUAUUGGUAGAUGUAUGUGAUAUUAUACAUCUGCCCAUUAUUACAAGAGUAAACACUGUGUGAAAAGAGGCCGGAU